rnacentral:lncRNA from 1 species
UCCCUACUUCCCACCCUCCUACAUGCAGAGCAUAGCAAAGUCACACUGCUGUGAAAACCAAAGAUGCAUGAAGAUGUAAGGACUCUGCCCACGGAGUCCUGGAUAGAAACUCACAGAUCCUGCAGCCCAGGCCCAGAUAAAGAGAGAAGCCUCAGUCCUGGUCCACCUGGAAUCCUGAAGCCUAGAAUUGUGCUGUCUAGGAUGGUAGCCAGUAUCACAGGUUGCAGGUGGGAUUGGAGUAGACAGAGGAUAGCAAGAUGGAAGCCAUUAACCUGAGCUGUGGUAACUCUCACCCUCUACAUCCUGAC